GAUGAACGCUAGCGGCAGGCUUAACACAUGCAAGUCGAACGGUAACAUGAGUGCUUGCACUUGAUGACGAGUGGCGCACGGGUGCGUAACGCGUAUGCAACUUACCCUAAACUGGAGAAUAGCCUUUAGAAAUGAAGAAUAAUACUCCAUAGUAUUCUAGAGAGGCAUCUUUCUAGUCUUAAAGCUUUGGCGGUUUAGGAUAGGCAUGCGUUCUAUUAGUUAGUUGGUAAGGUAACGGCUUACCAAGACCACGAUAGAUAGGGGGCCUGAGAGGGUUAUCCCCCACACUGGUACUGAGACACGGACCAG
rnacentral:rRNA from 1 species